GAGGUGUAUCAAUAGAGGAGCUCGUUGAAACAUAUGUCCCAUUCUGGGUCAAACCAAGCAGAUAUCUUGAUCAUAUAUUCGUUCCUGUAGAAGACAUCUUCAUGCACUGGUGGUGUAUGGUCGUUGACUUCCCUAACCAAUGUGCUUACUUAUUGGACUUGUGGCCAGAGCCAAACAUGGUCACUGAUAGAGAGAAACUUAUGUGGACAAUGCUAGGGAGGCUUCAUGAGGUGAUGACUUCUCCAGCUUAUGGACCUCCUGCAGUUUACAUUCCUAGCAAGCUUCCUGACUGGCCAAUCCGUAAAGGCCAAGGAAUCCCCAA